CAGGGGGGGGUGCUAUACAUGCAGUCGAGCGGACAGAUGGGAGCUUGCUCCCUGAUGUUAGCGGCGGACGGGUGAGUAACACGUGGGUAACCUGCCUGUAAGACUGGGAUAACUCCGGGAAACCGGGGCUAAUACCGGAUGGUUGUUUGAACCGCAUGGUUCAAACAUAAAAGGUGGCUUCGGCUACCACUUACAGAUGGACCCGCGGCGCAUUAGCUAGUUGGUGAGGUAACGGCUCACCAAGGCAACGAUGCGUAGCCGACCUGAGAGGGUGAUCGGCCACACUGGGACUGAGACACGGCCCAGACUCCUACGGGAGGCAGCAGUAGGGAAUCUUCCGCAAUGGACGAAAGUCUGACGGAGCAACGCCGCGUGAGUGAUGAAGGUUUUCGGAUCGUAAAGCUCUGUUGUUAGGGAAGAACAAGUACCGUUCGAAUAGGGCGGUACCUUGACGGUACCUAACCAGAAAGCCACGGCUAACUACGUGCCAGCAGCCGCGGUAAUACGUAGGUGGCAAGCGUUGUCCGGAAUUAUUGGGCGUAAAGGGCUCGCAGGCGGUUUCUUAAGUCUGAUGUGAAAGCCCCCGGCUCAACCGGGGAGGGUCAUUGGAAACUGGGGAACUUGAGUGCAGAAGAGGAGAGUGGAAUUCCACGUGUAGCGGUGAAAUGCGUAGAGAUGUGGAGGAACACCAGUGGCGAAGGCGACUCUCUGGUCUGUAACUGACGCUGAGGAGCGAAAGCGUGGGGAGCGAACAGGAUUAGAUACCCUGGUAGUCCACGCCGUAAACGAUGAGUGCUAAGUGUUAGGGGGUUUCCGCCCCUUAGUGCUGCAGCUAACGCAUUAAGCACUCCGCCUGGGGAGUACGGUCGCAAGACUGAAACUCAAAGGAAUUGACGGGGGCCCGCACAAGCGGUGGAGCAUGUGGUUUAAUUCGAAGCAACGCGAAGAACCUUACCAGGUCUUGACAUCCUCUGACAAUCCUAGAGAUAGGACGUCCCCUUCGGGGGCAGAGUGACAGGUGGUGCAUGGUUGUCGUCAGCUCGUGUCGUGAGAUGUUGGGUUAAGUCCCGCAACGAGCGCAACCCUUGAUCUUAGUUGCCAGCAUUCAGUUGGGCACUCUAAGGUGACUGCCGGUGACAAACCGGAGGAAGGGGGGGAUGACGUCAAAUCAUCAUGCCCCUUAUGACCUGGGCUACCCCGGGCUAAAUGGAA
rnacentral:rRNA from 1 species